GACAGAGGUGCCGAGCGUUAGGCGGAAUCACUGGGCUUAAAGCGUGUGUAGGCGGAGGCGUCAGUGUCUUGUGAAAUCCCCCGGCUCAACCGGGGAACUGCUGGGCAUACUGCGUCUCUUGGGCCACUCAGGGGCUACCGGAACAAAUGGUGGAGCGGUGAAAUGCGUAGAUAUCAUUUGGAACGCCGACGGUGAAAACAGGUAGCUGGGGGUGUGCCGACGCUGAGACACGAAAGCCAGGGGAGCGAACGGG
rnacentral:rRNA from 1 species